AUUCCAGCUCCAAUAGCGUAUAUUAAAGUUGUUGCAGUUAAAAAGCUCGUAGUUGGAUUUCUGCCAGGGUGCCAAUGUCCGCCGAAGUGCGUGCGCAGCGGCGCCCUCGCAUCCUUCUGUUAACGCCUCUCGGCAUUUACUUGCCGGUGGUGGGCUCAGAUAAUUUACCUUGAGAAAAUUAGAGUGUUUCAGGCAGGCUAGGCCGGAAUACAUUAGCAUGGAAUAAUGGAAUAGGACUACGGUCUCGUUGUUGGUUUGAGGGACUGGAGUAAUGAUUAAUAGGGAUAGUUGGGUGUGCUAGUAUUUAGAGGCCAGAGGUGAAAUUCUUGGAUUCUCUAAAGACUAACUUAUGCGAAAGCAUUCACCAAGGAUGUCUUCAUCA
rnacentral:rRNA from 1 species